CACCCUAUGCUGUGCAUUGUGCUGGGGCCCAGAUCAUCAGAGGGGACCCAUCCCUGCUCCCACGCCUGCUUACUGUCUAGCAAAGGAGAUGAGCAUUCGACCCUGGGAUCUCAGACACGUGUGGAAUUCCAGUGUGCUAGAAGCCUCUACCUCUUAUGAGGUGCACUAGGAAGGAAGAGGAGAUAUUGGAGCCCAAAUGACCAGCAGGCAGAGGGACUGCACCAGCAGGAAGACCAUCCUCCCCUCCCCAUCACCCCCUCCUUGCUCACGUGCUCCCCUGUCCCCCAAGUGACCAGAAGGGGGAGGGAGUAAAGGGGAUGUUUCCAUGGGACAAUAUUUAAAUUCAGCUCUUCUCUGAAUGUUUUUAGUUACAAAAGUAACAUAUACUCAUCAGAGCACCCCAGGCAGUGCCUGUAACCUCAGUCCGAAGUAGGCAACGCCGUCUGCUGGGUGUGUGUACCUCACACCACUCUCUGUGCUCAUGCAAAUCAUGUGUUUUAAGCAUGAGCCUUCAACUCAAUUCUCAUCUCCCCUGAGACGCUCGCUGCCUUUCAGAUGCUUGGUAAGUCCCGUCACCUCCUUUGCCUGAUGUAGAGGCAGCAAUCACAGAGGGAGGGUGCACAUUUUUAGGCACCCCCAGCCUCCUUGGCUUUUUUGUGUGAAGACCCUUCCUCAGGGUGGUCACAGCUGUGGGGUCGGAGGCAUGACCCCCCUCCAGCACAACCUGCAUCCUCCUGGACAGCCCAGCACCCUGUUCAGCAAGGAGGGAGAACUGAGUCCCUCUCCUCAGGCUGUGCCCGGGAUUCCACGGCAAGAGCAGAAACACUUCCUCAUCAUUUUGCAAACACAAAAAUAUGGAACAAGCGGCCACGUUAGACAUUGGGUGCUUGGAGCCUGCCCCUCCCAGGGAGCACCCAAUUCCCUGUUGAGGACUACAGCCCCGCUCCAGCCUGGAGAGGCUGUCAGUCCAGCUGCCCGCCCCUGCCCAGAAGUGGAUCUCCAGGUGGGGGGGACCCACAGGGUCGGGGAAGAGGGUCAGUUCAUCAGCCCACAGCAGAGCUGGGCCAGGCUGGAGGCAGGAGCUGCUACCCACUCAUCCCCAAGGUGGCCACUUGCCCCCUAUAGUGUCCCUGGUCUUGCCUUCUUUUCCAAGCUAGGAAUCCUCAACACCCUCCCAAUAAAUUCUCUUUUGGUUAAGUUACCCAGAGUCAGUUUCUAUGGAUUGUUUGUGACCAUGGAAUGCCAAG
rnacentral:lncRNA from 1 species